CUUCCUGUGCUGGUGUUUUAAAGCAGGUUUUCUGUUACUGUCGAUCACAAGAGCCGUCUGUAAGCUGAGAUCUUUCCAGGGCUUAAUUCUCAAUGUGAGGGCUCAGAGGGACCCCUGCAUUCAAGGGGGAGUGGGGUAAAAAUAAAGUCAGCAUAAGCUGUUUGUCCUUGAGCAACUACAACAGUUUCAAUUUCCCGACAGAAAACUUCGUGCAUGACAGAAGCGACAAUUGCCCUCCAAUUCAGUGAGGAAAUGGUUCCUCCAUGCUUCCAGUAUGAUUUGAGUGCCUGUGCCCUGCAUUCUUGCAGGGUGCAAUAUUCCACUUGAGGGAUGCUCUUGCUAAUCAGUGGGUGGCUGCAAGUACAAGUGCUUUCACCUGGCAUCUUGGAAAACAUGAUUUUGAUGUGAAACGUAGACCGAGUUUAUAUCCAAGAAAUGCAUCUGUGCCUUCAAAUGUAUCUCUUCAAAGGAAAAAAAGAGAGAGACAUGAGAAUGAAACUUAAUAUAAAACUUUGCUGAAUGUUUUCAGGUCCUGGUAAACUCUUUUAGAAACACAGAAAACAAUGGCAAAAAGAACUACAAAGACAGGGUCCAAUGGGAGUCUGUGUGUCUAUUUGUCCCCGUGGGGGUUUUUUGGUGACGGAGCCUACAGUUCCAAGGCAUUCAUCAAACCUGGGGAAAUAAAAGAAAAAGAAAAAUGAGAUAGCAUGCAGAAUCCAGAUUUGUAAAGGACACCCUCACUGUUUCCCAGCACGUU
rnacentral:lncRNA from 1 species